rnacentral:rRNA from 1 species
CGAAAAGGUAAGUUACGGACGGGGGCCCGCACAAGCGGAGGAACAUGUGGUUUAAUUCGAUGAUACGCGAGGAACCUUACCUGGGCUUAAAUGUAGAGUGCAUUUUUAGAGAUAGAAAUUCCCUUCGGGGCUUUCUGCAAGGUGCUGCAUGGUUGUCGUCAGCUCGUGCCGUGAGGUGUCGGGUUAAGUCCCAUAACGAGCGCAACCCUUAUCAUUAGUUGCCAGCUGGUAAAGCAGGGGACUCUAGCGAAACUGCCACCGUAAGGUGAGAGGAAGGUGGGGAUGACGUCAAAUCAGCACGGCCCUUAUGUCCAGGGCUACACACGUGUUACAAUGGCCGGCACAGAGGGCAGCUACCUGGUGACAGGAUGCUAAUCUCGAAAACCGGUCUCAGUUCGGAUCGAAGUCUGCAACUCGACUUCGUGAAGCUGGAUUCGCUAGUAAUCGCGCAUCAGCCAUGGCGCGGUGAAUACGUUCCCGGGCCUU